UCAGCGCCGAGGUCAGGGCUCUGAACUCAGAACCGGGCUGUUGUGGGUUUAAAUAAUGAGCUGGGCUCUGCUGCCGUGCUGCCCAGAAAGGCUCUUCCCUCAGGCUGCUUCGGAAAACGUGCCCUGCUCUACGGAUGGGGGGAAGAUGCUACGAGCAAACCUAUCAGCCACAUUCCCUGAUUAUCCGCGGGAUCACUUGAGCCGGCUGCUGCCGUCUUCUCCCCGAUCCUUCUGAAACAACGUGCAGGAGACGGGAAUUCAACCCCCACCCGGGCUACACUUCAUUGUUUGUGCAUUGUUUCUCUUGCCAGAUCAUUCCCGGAAAUCCGGCGUCUUCUCUCUCCGUACCUGGACCACGCCCCUCUGCUCUUGUCGCCCAGGCUGCUGUCCGUGAAGAAGAGUCUGAAGGAGGGGGCACGGCGCCCCUGAGACACACUCCAGGGGAAUCUGGGGGAAAGGUCCCUUGGAAACAGACAGACAAACAGAGCCGACUUGCCGUGCAGAAUUUCCAGAACUGUGGCCUCGAGAGGCUGGGGCAACGCCAGUGCAGAGUAGGGGUCCCAGCCUGGAGGGCUGAGACCAGGGCACAGGCUGGACCAGUGCCCUGGGACUGUGCAGCCUUGUUACCCCUGACCGUGAGAGAGCCGCAUGGGUGCCAGCAGGACUGCAGACUCCUUCUGGUUUCCAUUUCCUCCCAGAUCUGAAUCGCCGAAUCGUACAAAUUAGGAAGAGGAAAUGAAUCGAUGAGUCAACAGAGAGGGAGUAUUGAAACUUCAUCACUGCCAAAUCAUCGACAGUCAGAUCAGACACUCUUCCUCAGAGGAGUGUGCAUGACUGAUUACAGCACUCAGGUGUGUGCCCAACAUAACAUCGCUCAUCACGUUCCAGCAGGAAUACGGACAGGAGGACUGGAAAAGCCCGGCGUGUUUGUGUUUCUGCAGACGAGGAGGCUGCUGCCAGACCAGAAGGCUUAUUAGCAAACCUACAAACAUCCCGUUGCUUUAGAUGAGACAGCCGUGUCAUGGCAACAUCUGCAUCGCUCCUCCAGGAAAUCUGAACAGCCAGCCGGCGCAUUUGAUCAGCGAAUCUGAUCCAGGACAAAAGAGAAAUAUUAGUCAUACAGACCACAAAGCAAUGUCAAGAAGGAUUUAAAGACUUGAUUCAUUAAAAGAGUA